ensembl:rRNA 5S_rRNA 5S ribosomal RNA
GUCUAUGGCCAUACCACCCUGAACACGCCUGAUCUCCUCUGAUCUCAGACGGCACAUUAUGGAGAAUUAACCAGUGAGCAUACCUGAAGCACUGUGGAGU